CAGGGAGACAACAAAAUGUUUAAUAUUAUUAUUUUGUCACCUUAGGUCGAUCGGUAUCUCACGUUUUUAAUUUAUUAAGAAUUUCAUUUCCUAAGUUUNUCUAGGUCACACCCAUUAUUUUUCCUGGGCCAUUAGCUCAGGUGGNUAGAGCGCACCCCUGAUAAGGGUGAGGUCCCUGGUUCAAGUCCAGGAUGGCCCAUAUCUCUAUGUUGGGGGUAUAGCUCAGUUGGUAGAGCCCCUGUUUUGCAAGCAGGAUGUCAGCGGNUCGAGUCCGUUUACCUCCACUGAUUACCACCUCUACCAUAAUUUGNAGAAAGGAAAAUUUUGUGUUGUGAUCAUCUUUCUGAACUAAUCUAGCUUCCUAAUAAAAUCAUUAAGAUGCUGGAUUCAUUGAAUUAAUUUCAUUGUUUUCAGANAACCUUGACAACUGCAUAUAUUAUUUUUAAAGACAAUAAUCAUNUUUAUGAUGCAUAUUUAUUAUUUGUGCNAAUGCAUUAAUAACAAUUCUAUUAAGCUGAUGUUUCUAUAUUGAAGUUAUU
rnacentral:tRNA from 1 species